rnacentral:rRNA from 1 species
AAUAUUUGACAAUGGGCGAAAGCCUGAUCCAGCCAUGCCGCGUGAGUGAUGAAGGCCNNNGGGUUNUCAAGCUCUUUCAGUGGNGAANAUAAUGACGGUACCCACAGAAGAAGCCCUGGCUAACUUCGUGCCAGCAGCCGCGGUAAUACGAAGGGGGCUAGCGUUGUUCGGAUUUACUGGGCGUAAAGCGCACGUAGGCGGAUCGUUAAGUCGGGGGUGAAAUCCUGGAGAUCAACUCCAGAACUGCCUUCGAUACUGGCGAUCUUGAGUCCGGAAGAGGUGAGUGGAACUCCUAGUGUAGAGGUGGAAUUCGUAGAUAUUAGGAAGAACACCAGUGGCGAAGGCGGCUCACUGGUCCGGUACUGACGCUGAGGUGCGAAAGCGUGGGGAGCAAACAGG